rnacentral:rRNA from 1 species
AGUGGCGGACGGGUGAGUAACGCGUGGGUAACCUGCCUCAUACAGGGGGAUAACAGUUAGAAAUGACUGCUAAUACCGCAUAAGACCACAGGACCGCAUGGUCCAGUGGUAAAAACUCCGGUGGUAUGAGAUGGACCCGCGUCUGAUUAGCUAGUUGGUAAGGUAACGGCUUACCAAGGCGACGAUCAGUAGCCGACCUGAGAGGGUGACCGGCCACAUUGGGACUGAGACACGGCCCAGACUCCUACGGGAGGCAGCAUG